rnacentral:rRNA from 1 species
AAUUGACGCUGGCGGCAGGCUCACACGAUUGCCAAGUCGAGCGGGGGAAGGUCCGCUUGCUCAUUGGACCUAGCGGCGGACGGGUGAGUAAUACUUAGGAUCUGCCUAUUAGUGGGGGACAACAUCUCGAAAGGGAUGCUAAUACCGCAUACGUCCUACGGGAGAAAGCAGGGGGUCUUCGGACCUUGCGCUAAUAGAUGAGCCUAAGUCGGAUUACCUAGUUGGUGGGGUAAAGGCCUACCAAGGGCGACGAUCUGUAGCGGGUCUGAGAGGAUGAUCCGCACACUGGGACUGAGACACGGCCAGACUCCUACGGGAGGCAGCAGUGGGGAAUAUUGGACAAUGGGCGCACAGCCUGAUCCAGCCAUGCCGCGUGUGUGAAGAAGGCCUUAUGGUUGUACAAGCACUUUAAAGCGAGGAGGAGGCUACUUUAGAUAAUACCUAGAGAUACGUGGACGUUACAUCGCACAGAAUAAGCAACCGGAUAACCUCUGUGCCAGCAGACGCAGGUAAUACAAGCAGGGUGCAAAGACGUUAAUCGGAUUUACUGGGCGUUAAAGCGCGCGUAAGCGGCUAAUUAAGUCCACAAUGUGAAAAUCCCCGGAAGCCUUUAACCUUGGGGAAACU